AGAAUGAACGCUGGCGGCAUGCCUAACACAUGCAAGUCGAACGAGACCUUCGGGUCUAGUGGCGCACGGGUGCGUAACGCGUGGGAAUCUGCCCUUGGGUUCGGAAUAACUCAGAGAAAUUUGAGCUAAUACCGGAUGAUGUCGAAAGACCAAAGAUUUAUCGCCCAGGGAUGAGCCCGCGUAGGAUUAGCUAGUUGGUGAGGUAAAAGCUCACCAAGGCGACGAUCCUUAGCUGGUCUGAGAGGAUGAUCAGCCACACUGGGACUGAGACACGGCCCAGACUCCUACGGGAGGCAGCAGUGGGGAAUAUUGGACAAUGGGCGAAAGCCUGAUCCAGCAAUGCCGCGUGAGUGAUGAAGGCCUUAGGGUUGUAAAGCUCUUUUACCCGGGAUGAUAAUGACAGUACCGGGAGAAUAAGCUCCGGCUAACUCCGCGCCAGCAGCCGC
rnacentral:rRNA from 1 species